AUGGGCAACGCUAGUAUUGUUGGCUUCUUUGGCCGUUCUGGACAUGUUGUUGAUGCAAUCGGCCUCUAUGUGAACCUUGCGAGAGGACCAAUGGAGAAACAGGAUUUGAUUACCAAGGUUGGUCUAUGGGGAGGUAAUUCAGGGCAGGCGCAUGACUUGGACGUGGUACCACGACGUUUGAUAAGCGUGGUAGUUCGUAGUGGCGAGGUAAUUGAUUCACUCAAGUUUACGUACAGCGACUGCGAUGGACAUCAGCACACUGCUGGUCCGUGGGGAGGAUCGGAUGCAUCUCAGAGUAUGAACAAUCAUAUGAUUCUGCUUGGCCGUUCAGAGGUAGUGAAGGAAGUUUCUGGAACAAUUGGUCCGAAUUCCUCUGUUCCAGAUUUUGUAUCGUCACUUUUGCUCGCCACCAAUACUUCGAGCCAUGGACCUUUUGGAGAAGGGAGGGGGAUUCCUUUCCGCAUUCCGGUGCAGGAUAAUGAUAGCAUCGUUGGCUUUUUUGCCCAGGCUGAGAAGCAUAUUAACGCAAUUGGUUUCUAUCUCGAAUCAAUGGAAAUCAAGGACAAUGAUGGACCUCCAUGUGCCAACACAAAGUUAGAAGGUGAUAUAAAGGAGCCAUAUAUGACAUGUAUUACGAAGAUUGGGCCGUGGGGAGCUAAUAAUCACAACUAUAAGGACAUCGAGGUGGCACCUCUAUGUUUGAACAGCAUCACAAUCCGUAGUGGAGACGUUGUAUUUUCACUUGCCUUUUCGUACAGUGACAACAACGGCAAGCAGCACCAUGCAGGUCCAUGGGGAGCUUCGGCAGGCUUUUCUUAUGGGAGCUUUGAUACAAUUCUGUUAGGACCCUCUGAGUUUCUGGCCGAAGUUUCUGGAACAACUGGUUCCUCUACGCAAUAUUCUUCUGACGUUGUAACAUCCGUUAUGUUUAUUACCAAUGCUCGUCGGUAUGGACCUUUUGGAGGAGGAGGAGGAAUUCCUUUUCACAGUCCAGUGCUAAGCAAUGGCAGCAUCGUUAGCUUCUUCGCUAAUACUGGGAGGGUGGUCGACGCAAUUGGUGUAUAUGUGAAGCCAAAUGACAGGGGAUCAACGAAAGAACAGGACCCGGUUACAAAAAUUGGGCCAUGGGGUGGUGGUUCAGGGAGGCCUAGUGACGUGGAUGUGUUGCCACGACGUCUGAUAAGCGUGGUCAUUCAUAGCGGUAGGGUAAUCAAUUCACUUAUGUUUACAUAUAGUGAUUGCGAUGGUCAACAACACUCCGGUGGUCCAUGGGGAGGGACGGCUAAUCCUCUAGAAGGGAGCUCUCACACGAUUCUCCUUGGCCAGUCAGAUUUCUUGAUGGAAGUUUCUGGAACAGUAGGCUGGAACUCGGAAAACUCAGAUGUUGUAACAUCACUUUACUUUGUCACCAAUACCGGUAGCUACGGACCAUAUGGAAAUGGAGGCGGGACUCGUUUUCGAAGUCCGCUAAGAGCAAUGGUAGUAUUGUCGGCUUCUUUGCCAAUGCUGGAGACGUGA
rnacentral:rRNA from 1 species